GCCAGACAACAACAUCACCUGGCUGGAGGGCUGUUAGUAUCAUCUGGAGCUCUCUUUCAGAGCCAACUGUCAGGCUGACUGUUGCUGCAGAACUUGUCCCAUCAGGUGCAAGGUCUGUUGAAUCAGGACUGGCCCUGCCGCUGCUGCAACUGAGACAUUCAUACUCUCGGAUUCUUCCUGGCUGUCAUCGAAGUUCCCAGCCAAUGCACCAGUUUUUCAGGGGAUCACUGCAUAAGGACAUGGCCUUCUGUACCCCAAUGACAUUCGCCUACCUGUCCCUACCAAAGAAAAAUGCUAGACACCUGGUCAGAUUGGAGUUCCUCCUAGAUCUCUCCUGCCAUGACUUUGAUGUUUCUCUAAGUUCCAGGACAGAUGAUGUUUGACCCUGGCUGCAGGCAUCCCCAGUGGAAUUCAGCUUUAAAAAGACAACAAAGAAGAAGAAAGAAGGAAUGAAAACUGUCCGGCAAGUUUAGCUUCUGCCUUGCCCCCAGCCUGCUGGCACUUGCAGCUCCUGCUGCACAGCUUUUUUGCAGUGUAAUCAGCUGAUUGAAACCCUGCUGUGAUAACUGAUUGAUUGUGGCAGCAAUUAACCCUGCUAUGAUUCAUGAGCUCUUCUGAACUCCUAAACCAACUGGUCGGCCACCCCAUUCCUGGGUUUCUUCGAGCUGGGUGUUCAGUGGCUCUGCCAAGCUUGCCUUCCUUCACUCUCCUCCCUGUUUGCCUGGGAUGCCUGGCCAGAAAAAGCUCCCAGAGAUCCAAUCCAGCACACCUGGCAAGUUAAUAAAGCCAGCUUUGAACAUGCUGGGAGUUUCUUCCACAGUGUGGGGGUCUUCUCAGGUAACUUGCAGCUGGGGCUGUCGGGCUCCCAUGAAGAGACACCGUCAGCCUCUUCACAGAAGCACUGUCAGGGACCAGACAAGACUGUAGUCAUCUCAAGCAAAGACUGUCUGGCGGGGCCAUGUGACAAUGCUUAAUUAGUGAAGAAGGAAAAUAUUGUCAUCCUCAUUUUAAAGAUGGAGAAAGACACUGAGAGAUUAAGUGGCUUGUCUAAUUUUACACAGCAAAUUAGUAUCAGAGCUGGGAAUAAAACCCAAAGUCUUAACUUAUAUCUUGGAUCUAGCUGGCAUUGCCUCUUUGUAAGGAUUUGUAUUAUAUGUAUUUUUCCUUUAUGCAAAAGAGCUGUAUAAUCACAAUAUCAAAACAGAUCCAGAAGUAAUAACUCAACUAAAGAAGGGAGGACCUAGAACUGUAGAAGAAGAAGAUAAAAGCUUCAUGAGAGAAGAAGCUAUCAGAAGCAUGAAAAAUGGAAAAACAACUGGCCUGGACAGUAGACCUGCAGAACUGUUAAAAACAGGAAACAAGACAAUUGACAUACUAUACAAAAUCUGCAAUAUGAUAUGGAAAAGGAAAACUUGGCCAACAGUGGACAAAAUCAAUCCGAAAGAUGGGGAAUCUACACCAAAGUACCAACUACCGCACCAUUAGCCGCAUCAGUGAUCCAACUAAGUUGCUUCUUAGAAUAAUACUAAACAGGCUCAAGCCACAAAUAGAGACUGGGUUAGCAGAAGAACAAGCUGGAUUCAGGUCUGGAAGAAGUACCACAGAACAGAUCUUCAACCUCAGAAUCAACCAAAAUACCAUGACCACCGAAAAGAACUCCAUCAUAUUUCCAUAGACUUUAAAAAAAGCCUUUGACAGGGUGUGGUGAAAAGCACUUUUGCUGACAAUGAAGACGCAUAACAUCAGGCCCACAUUGAUAAGUCUUAUAAAAGAACUCUAAAACAAUACAAGUAGUGGAGUCCUGCUUGACAUUGGUUUACAGUAUCAGUAGGAGUAUGCCAAGGCUGUCUUCUCUCACCCUACUUAUCUAAUUUAUACCUGGAACAAAUCGUGUCAGAUGCCUUAGAGAACUUCACUGGUACAGUGUCAGUUGGAGGACAAGAAAUUAACAACCUUUGUUUUGCUAAUGACAUUGAUCUAAUAGCUGGAACUGCAGAAGAGCUUAAGGAAAUAACAGAAAAGCUGUAUAAGGCUACAGAGAGAUAUAGAAUGGAAAUUAGUGCGGAGAAGAGCAAAGUAAUGAUAGCAUCAGCCAGUAGCAAUGAUGAUGCAUCAGUAAACAUUGGUAAUGAGAAUCUAGAAAAAGUAACACACUUCAAAUACCUUGGAGCAGCCAUCACAGAAGAUGCUACAUCAGAAAAAUAAGUAAAAACAAGAAUAGCAAUUUCUGUUGGACAAAUAGCAAAGCUGAAGAAAAUCUGGAC